rnacentral:misc_RNA from 1 species
AAGUCGUAACAAGGUUUCCGUAGGUGAACCUGCGGAAGGAUCAUUACUAAUAUAGCAAACCGAGGUUCUGCGAUCAAAAUUGUAUUUAAAACCCAACACUUUGAAUCAAUAUUUUUUAUGUAUCUUAAAUAAUAAAAGAUCACUUUCAACAACGGAUCUCUUGGUUCUC